ACUAAAAACGUUUUAAAAUAUGUGUAUUUUAGUAUUUUUCAGAAAUAUAAUUCAUUAGAACAGCUCUCUAGACUCUAACGAAGAAAACUUAACAGCUGGAAGUACUGUAUUUGAAUGUUUUGUUUUUAUUUUUGCUGUCAAAAUCUCGGAAACGAAAAAAAAACAUGGCGAGAUUCCCGACUGGUGGUGACUGUCUUUGAAAAUAAAUUUUAGAAUAAGGUUAGUGGUUUGUGAACAUGUCUGAAUUAUCAGUAAUUAUACUAACAAAAGGUCAAGUUCAAAGUUACUGUUAACGAAAGUAAUUGUUUAGACUUUAUUCUGCGAUGAAGUCACAGUGUUGUUUUAAAACAACAUGGUAAUAUUUGCACAUUAAAAAAUGAUAUUUUAACGUCGCGCGCCUUUAAGGGUUAAUAAAGUAACACAAGCAUGCAUGAACAUCUCUUAAAGAAAAAUAAGCAAUAUCGUGUUCAGUUACUACAUUUGAUUAUCGCCUGAUUAUAAGUUUGAAACCGAGAAACAAUUAAGCAAAAGCGAAAAAUGGUGAUUUGUUUCAAUAUAUUCUUUAAGGUAGAAGUUUUUCAACCAACAUUCUUAGUUUGCUCGAUACAGAUUUUUUAUACAGAUGUUUUAACCCGUGAAACAGAUAUACAGAUAUUUUUGAGCAAAACUACAGAAAUAAAUGUGGCCACCCUGCACCAAACACCUAUUCACUAUUUUUGUUUACUUCUUAGUCUGUCUAGUGCAUUUACCGGUAAAGAGAAUAGUUUCAAUUUUUCAAGUGUUUAUUCAUCGAAAAUGCCUGAGUGCUGCGUAAAUAUUCGCAAAACUUCAUCUGCAGAGGCAGCAAAAAGAACUCGAGUGAUAAAUUGUUAUUCACUAAACCUGAAUUUUCUCUCGAAAAAAUGUUAUGGUGUGGAACUCGAAAAACAAAAUCAGAUUCUUGACCAAAUGGAAACUAUGAUCACAGAGAUUCAAGUGCUUACAACACAUUGUCUGCCAGCUCGAACAGGAAACAAGUUGUUCCAACAAACGAUACACAUUUCCAUCCAGUUGCAAAAAAACUGUUGAUAGAGAUUAGAAAACUCCCCGCUUUGGAGCAAGGAUUUCUGAUUAUGUAUAAGGAUUGCGCAGAGAAUGAGUUUGCGGUGAUUCGACUUAACAGUGGUAUUCAUAACCAUCCAACCACUCUUAAAGCUCUCGAACGUCGAUUGAUGAUUCUUGGCGAAGGAUUUUCAAAGCAGUUGAAAGUUAACCAAAAUACGCGGUCUGUUUUGACGAAGGAAGUCAAUCCUAUAUCUAACGUUUUCCGUGAAGCCAACCUUUACCUAUGGAAUAGAAAAAAGGAGGAUGUAGUGUUCAGCGAUAACGAAGAAUCGCCGUGGCUAUAUGGAGCUAAGAAAAGGAGUCUUAAAGAGACAGAUGGUUGUAGUAAGCUAUAGGUUACAUCGCCAAAAAUCAGAUGAAUGAAUUUCUGAAUUUGGGAAAUUACACCUACCAAUUGGAACAUUGGAACACAACUGUGAACCAGAUGCUAAUAAAGAGAAUUAAUUAAGUGAGGAAUGGUUAAACAUAGGAGACCAGCUUGAUUCCUAUUUUAACUGGAUUCAUAAUGUCGGUCCGGACACUAAUCAAAUUGGAUUUAAAAAUAAACAAAACGGUAAAAACAGGACUAUCCAUAAACUAAAACAAAAAUUUCCGCAGCCUCCAGAAAAAGUUUGAAGAAGCAAUUGCAAGAGAAAAAAAGGAGAAAGCAAGGAUGCGAAUUCGGAAGCAACGAAAAAGUGACACUAUAACGUGUUCUAGUCAGACGCCUAAUAAUAAGAUUGACGAGAGGAGUGCUAUUAACAGGAAGAAUUCUCGUAAAAUUAAACACUUCAUCGUUCAAUUGAUAUAGUUGCCUAUGAUAUAUGAGAAAAAUUAAAACAGUUGUAUAAAACUGCAGAGAAAUAUGUUUUAUUUCACUUUCAUUGUCUACUAUUUAGAGAAACACACCGUCUUGCCUACGUAAAGGGUUUCACUGUCGAAUUAUCACGGUUAUGCCGCCUUUUUACGGACUUCUGGUUUACCCUUCCUCGCGGUGGCAAGUCAGCGAUCUCUCCGUUGCUGAUUAUCAUUGAUUCCUGUAUAUGUGAAAAAAAAAAUCAUUGAUUCCUUGUUCUUCCUGGAUGUUGUCAUUUCGUUGACUUUGUUUCCUUUACUGAUAAUGACGGUUUUCAUAUCUUUAUGCUUGCCGACAGAUGUUGAUGCACUUAAUAUUUUUUUCCGUUUUUGGUACCAACGAAAACCACAUCGUACGUGGUGCC